rnacentral:rRNA from 1 species
CGGGGGGAGCAAGCGUUGUACGGAUUUACUGGGCGUAAAGGGCGCGUAGGCGGCCACCGCAAGUCGACUGUGAAAUCUCCGGGCUUAACUCGGAAAGGUCAGCCGAUACUGCGGGGCUAGAGUGCAGAAGGGGCAACUGGAAUUCUCGGUGUAGCGGUGAAAUGCGUAGAUAUCGAGAGGAACACCUGCGGCGAAGGCGGGUUGCUGGGCUGACACUGACGCUGAGGCGCGAAAGCUAGGGGAGCGAACGGGAUUAGAUACCCCGGUAGUCCUAGCCUUAAACGGUGAAUGCUUGGUGUCUGGGGUUUUAUAGUCCCCGGGUGCCGUCGCUAACGCUUUAAGCAUUCCGCCUGGGGAGUACGGUCGCAAGACUG